UUAUCCUUUGUUGCCAGCGAGUAAUGUCGGGGAAACUCAAAGGAGACUGCCGGUGAUAAACCGGAGGAAGGUGGGGAUGACGUCAAGUCAUCAUGGCCCUUACGAGUAGGGCUACACACGUGCUACAAUGGCAUAUACAAAGAGAAGCGAACUCGCGAGAGCAAGCGGACCUCAUAAAGUAUGUCGUAGUCCGGAUUGGAGUCUGCAACUCGACUCCAUGAAGUCGGAAUCGCUAGUAAUCGUAGAUCAGAAUGCUACGGUGAAUACGUUCCCGGGCCUU
rnacentral:rRNA from 1 species